rnacentral:rRNA from 1 species
GAUGAACGCUGGCGGCGUGCCUAAUACAUGCAAGUCGAGCGAAGCGGGGACGGGUGAGUAACACGUGGAUAACCUCCUAUAAGACUGGGAUAACUUCGGGAAACCGUAGCUAAAACCGAAACUUUUAGCUGGAUCCGCACUGCAUUAGCUAGUUGGUAAGGUAACGGCUUACCAAGGCCACGAUGCAUAGCCGGCCUGAGAGGGUGAUCGGCCAAACUGGAACUGAGACACGGUCCAGACUCCUACGGGAGGCAGCAGUAGGGAAUCUUGCACAAUGGGCGAAAGCCUGACGGAGCAAUGCCGCGUGAGUGAAGAAGGUCUUCGGAUUGUAAAACGCUGUUAUCAGGGAAGCGGUACCUAAUCAGAAAGCCACGGCUAACUACGUGCCAGCAGCCGCGGUAAUUC